GACCCGUCUUGAAACACGGACCAAGAAGUCUAUCUUGCGCGCAAGCCAAUGGGUGUCGCGUGGUGCCGGCGUGCACUGCGCACACGUGUAAACCCCAAAGGCGCAGACAACUCGAACAAGUUGCUAAGGGAUUACGGGUUCGGCACGGGCGCAAGCCUUCGUCGGGCCCCUCCAUCCCGGGGUGUCCCGCCGCCGGGCUCCGGCCCGAGUGGGCAUCCCUCGAGUGCGUAGGAUGCGACCCGAAAGAUGGUGAACUAUGCCUGAUCAGGCCGAAGUCAGGGGAAACCCUGAUGGAGGGCCGAAGCAAUUCUGACGUGCAAAUCGAUUGUCAGAGUUGGGCAUAGGGGCGAAAGACCAAUCGAACCAUCUAGUAGCUGGUUCCUUCCGA
rnacentral:rRNA from 1 species